rnacentral:rRNA from 1 species
GAUGAACGCUGGCGGCGUGCCUAAUACAUGCAAGUCGAGCGAAGAGGGGACGGGUGAGUGUCACGUGUAGAAACUCCUAUAAGACUGGGGUAAAUUCGGGAAACCGGAACUAAACCCGCUACUUAUAGCUGGAUCGACGCGGCAUUAGCUAGUUGGUAGGGUAACGGCGUACCAAGGCAACGAUGCAUAGCCGACCUGAGAGGGUGAUCGGCCACACUGGAACUGAGACACGGUCCAGACUCCUACGGGAGGCAGCAGUAGGGAAUCUUCCGCAAUGGGCGAAAGCCUGACGGAGCAACGCCGCGUGAGUGAUGAAGGUCUUCGGAUUGUAAAACUCUGUUAUUAGGGAAGCGGUACCUAAUCAGAAAGCCACGGCUAACUCCGUGCCAGCAGCCGCGGUAAUUC